AAGCAGUGGGAGCACCCUUCGGGGUGUGACUGCGUACCUUUUGUAUAAUGGGUCAGCGACUUAUAUUCUGUAGCAAGGUUAACCGUAUAGGGGAGCCGGAGGGAAACCGAGUCUUAACCGGGCGUUAAGUUGCAGGGUAUAGACCCGAAACCCGGUGAUCUAGCCAUGGGCAGGUUGAAGGUUGGGUAACACUAACUGGAGGACCGAACCGACUAAUGUUGAAAAAUUAGCGGAUGACCUGUGGCUGGGGGUGAAAGGCCAAUCAAACCGGGAGAUAGCUGGUUCUCCCCGAAAGCUAUUUAGGUAGCGCCUCGUGAAUUCAUCUCCGGGGGUAGAGCACUGUUUCGGCUAGGGGGCCAUCCCGGCUUACCAACCCGAUGCAAACUGCGAAUACCGGAGAAUGUUAUCACGGGAGACACACGGCGGGUGCUAACGUCCGUCGUGAAGAGGGAAACAACCCAGACCGCCAGCUAAGGUCCCAAAGUCAUGGUUAAGUGGGAAACGAUGUGGGAAGGCCCAGACAGCCAGGAUGUUGGCUUAGAAGCAGCCAUCAUUUAAAGAAAGCGUAAUAGCUCACUGGUCGAGUCGGCCUGCGCGGAAGAUGUAACGGGGCUAAACCAU
rnacentral:rRNA from 1 species